rnacentral:rRNA from 1 species
GACGAACCGAGCGAACGUUGUUCGGAAUCACUGGGCUUAAAGGGCGCGUAGGCGGGUGCUCAAGUCCGUGGUGAAAUCCUCCGGCUCAACCGGAGAACUGCCUCGGAUACUGGGCGUCUCGAGUGUGGUAGGGGUAUGCGGAACUAUCGGUGGAGCGGUGAAAUGCGUUGAUAUCGAUAGGAACUCCGGUGGCGAAGGCGGCAUACUGGACCACCACUGACGCUGAGACGCGAAAGCGUGGGGAGCAAACAGG